rnacentral:rRNA from 1 species
UACGGGGGGGGUAAGCGUUGUUCGGAAUUACUGGGCGUAAAGGGCUCGUAGGCGGCCAACUAAGUCAGACGUGAAAUCUCCAAGCUUAACUUGGAAACUGCCGUUGAUACUAUCUGUCUUGAAUAUUGUGGAGGUGAGCGGAAUAUGUCAUGUAGCGGUGAAAUGCUUAGAUAUGACAUAGAACACCAAUUGCGAAGGCAGCUCGCUACACAUAUAUUGACUCUGAGGCACGAAAGCGUGGGGAUCAAACAGG